rnacentral:lncRNA from 1 species
UUAUAAAAAAAUUAUUAACGUUUCUAAGUAAACUAUAAAAUGUGAAAGAACGAUAGAGGUGACCUUCAUUCCUCUGUUAUAUGAUAAACUUUAUAAUAGUGAGGUAACCAGUGAUAACAGUCUCAGUGAGACAGAACACUAACUUCUUAAGAGUUAAAGGAUUUUGCCACCCCCAAUAUGCCUACUCCAGUCCCUAUACAAAAUGUUCAAAAAUAAAAAGAAAAGAGUGCUAUGUGCUUGCUUGCCUGUCCCCGUGUUGCACUAAAACAAGGUAAGCAGGAUCUUGAGCAGAUAUCUGAAACAGCUGCCAUGCAAUGUAGAAGCAAGUAGUAAUGCUGAAAAUUUUGGAAAGUAAAUUAAAUGUCAACCACAAAAAAUGUAUGAGUCUAUGUGUAUGUGUUGUUAACUGGCAUAAACCGUUCAUGAAAGUAAAGAAGUAAUCAGGUCUACCAUAAUCUCAACAAGAAAAAUAUAAAUCAAUCUUUUCUUACUUUGUGUAUUUUCUGAAAUACCCCACUAAUAAGCACUAAUGCAGUGUACAGUCACAUUUCUAUUAAAAUAUAUAAAUUAUACACAAUUUUCUCCAAAAGACUAGAUUUCAUUUCCAAAUCAAUGUAUAGUUAAAAAUUAAACCGUUGUUCAUUGACAAUUGGAAUCUGUCAUAAAACUAUGGCUUGUUAAAAUUCUUGAAAGGUAUUUUAUAAUGGUAAUUAGUUUUAAAAUUGUGAGAACAAACCUGCCAAAACAUAUCAAUAGAAUUAUCCAGAAGAUUGCAGAAAUCCAACUAGAUUCUUUGUAGACAACCCAGACCUGAUAUUGCAUUGAAUAGUUAGGAAUAGGAUACCUAAAUUGAUCCAAGAAAAGAUAACCGAAAUUAAACUUCAGCAUUAUAGAAUUGAACAUCUUUGCAGGCAAAAAUAUUUUGACGUUGAUUAUCUCAACAUUUAGAGUGCUCAAAUAGAUCAUUUUCAGGACCAUUGCCAACGAAAACUACUAUUCCUUAACUUAUUAAAAUCUUUCUGCUAUAGCUCCAAAAUGCAAUUGGUAGCAUAUAUAUCUAGAUGUUUGACUUCUCUGGUAGGCAUUAAAUUAACCAAGUAGAAACCCCAUUUUACAUAACAAAUGGCCUCAAAUUAGGAAAUCAAAACAAAUAUCUUUUCCCAGAAUUAACUUAUGGUUUCCAGAAGAAACAGACCAUUUCCUUACAUUCUCUUGAAUCUUGUCCCGUCUUACUACAAUAAGCAGAAUGCAGAAAAUCAUAUAGCGAGUUCGGAAAGUUAGAUAGUUAUACACUCUGCACGGAUAAAACCAAUUAACUUGAAUACUUCUAACAGAAUGUAACACCACUACGAUGCCCUUGAAUGUGUGAAAGUAAUUAAGAGUAAUUUAAAAAGGUCUUCGACUAAUUCUCUAGAACAAUAUUUCUGUAAACAAAGAGAAUAGACCUAUUUUAACUUUAAAGGGGCAUAAAUGCUUCUAACCAAGCAGAAUUUUAUAAGAGUGAGAUGUGAUUUUAUUAAACAAUAGGGAGGCCAAACAUAUAUUUUUUACCAUCAAAAUUUUUCGUAUAGAAUUUUAGACUUUUUAUUAUAAAAGAUGUGAUUCCAAGCAUAACAACAUAAAUAUUACUAAAAUUGUUUUGCCUCCUUGAACGACCUUAAUCCUUUAUUUUAUGAAAUAGAUUUGCAUUUGUAUGAUUUACUAAGACUAAAAAACUGUAGACAUACUGCUAGAGCCACAACGUUGAGGUAGAAGUCAACUAGUGUUGCUACCAACAACCUGCAAACAUUUUGGAGUUUAUCAUAUUCAGUUAAAUGAAAAAUAAUCGGGACAAACUGCAACUUCAAAGAAAACUUUCUAACAUGAACAUGCAAAUGCAAAGAUGUAAAUAUCUACAAGGCAUAAUUUAGGAAAUGAAGACUAAAAACACCUGUUAUCCUGUUAGAUUUGCAUCUUUGAAAAUAAUGUAGUCCGCUAUGCAUAACCAUUACAAAUACAUUGCUUACAUGAGCAAGUAAUUUUAUUAGUGCUUUAUUAUCUGUUUUUGGAUUAUGCUGACAUCAAGUUAACAUAUAGCUAUGCAUUUUGGCACUAAAAUCAAAUAAUGAAGAUUACCACACAUCAAGCAAAUAUAUCCUCAGCUUCCUCAAAAACUGGUUUUUAUAAGGCUUGAGAAGAUUCUUGUUGCAUGAUGAUAAACUUUAAUUAAAAUUGAACCCAUUACAUCAAAAUUGAAAACAGAAUAACUCGAUCAAUGCAGAAGAUACCACAAAUAAAGUGAUAAUGAGGUAAUCAAACUUCUCCUAAUUAAACAAGUAAAACAAAUGAAAAAGGAAUGUUCCAUCUCACGAGAAGUACAAAAAUAAUACAUAUCUCAUUCAUGUAGCUUGAGCUUGUAUAGGAAGGUUCAAUCAUUCUUGUGUUGACAACAAGGAUAGUAACAUCAAAUAAUGCUUAAUAAUAACAAAUAUGAAGCACUUACGGAGUUAAAAGCUCUACUCGGAAAGGAGAACCAUCAGUGACAAAAGUGUACACCAAAGUUCCAAGCAUGACGACACCCAAAAUGCUGAAAAGUAUUCUCAGGGUCAUGACCGAAGAAUGCUUUCUUUGUGGUAUUGUGUCAUUCCUAUGUAAAUGUGAGUCAAUCAGAACCGAUGAUGAAAAUCAAAAUCUAGAGAUUAUACAAAAAAUCACACAGCUAAGUAGACCAUAAACCUGGAUUCUAUAUAUAUCAUCAGUAUUCAUAUAUAUAUGUAUAGUUUACAGGACAUGGAAAAAAAAUAAUUAAUAACACAAUUUACUUCAGCAACAGAAAGAAAGAACUCUAUCAUUUUUUUUCACUAACUGUAAUCAAACUCAAGAAACCUAACUAUCCUCAUAUUGAUUAAGGGAUUAAAGGAAGAAAAUUAAUAUAUUCAUUUCAGAAUCAACAGACUCUCCAAGAAGAUUAUUAAAAAAUUAGAAGCAUAAGCUAGAUGACAGCUAGACUCUAGAGUGACACCAUUAUGCAUUGAUCAAGAAAAUAUACAAGAUUUAAAAAAGAAUGGCAAAUAUUGAAAACUCGACUCUGUACUAGUGAUUCUGUAGAUAUACUUGUUUGGAUGCCGCAACAGAACAUAUUGAAUAGGAUCCUGUGAAGAUUCUUGAGAUGACAGCUUCAAAAAUUGCACAACAAUAUAGGCAGAUGUAGUGAUGCUGAAACAAUUGAAAAACAUACCAAAAAGAUGAAUUAGCACUUCUGAGAUUCUUUUGAAUGACCAUAAACAAGAUAAGAAACAACACAGAAACUAAUAAUCAAUCUGAGCUUUUAUACAUAUGAGAGGAACCCUUACAUUUUAUUCGUAUUAUGAAAUCAGAUUAUUGUUGCCAGUUUUCUCCAUAGGUGUAACAAAUGAUAGGAAAACAUAAAAAAUAAAAAAAAAAUAAAAAUUGAAUCUAGUAGACUAUUCUUCUCUCCUCAGAAAAAAUUUAAGUAAGAAAUAUGAAAAGAUAACUACAAUGUGACUUACUAUUAGUAUAAAACAAAUAACCAGAUUAACUAAUCUUUAGAUGAGUCAUAAGAAAAAAUUUAUUACGCAUUACAUAAAUUUAUUUCAAAGAUGAAGAAAAUUAGCAUUAUCAUCAGAUCCUUGAACCACUUGUUCCACACACAAUUAUAUAGCACUGAGGGUUAUAUUUAAACCAAAAGUAAGGAACCAUGACAUCUAAUUGGAUUUUUAUUUUGUGUGGCAGUUAUAGCCGAAUAAGGUAAUAGAAUUUGGAAAAAGUCAUAGAAAAAGUAGAGAUCUUGUAAAAAGUUUUUGCUCAUUGCUCCGAUAAUAUGUUCUACAUAUUAAUACUAGCCUGGGUGAAGCAAUAUUACAUAUUAUUCAAUUAAAAUAACAUCAAACAACGAUAGAAAAUUAUACCUUCCAAGGAAAACAAGCAAAACAAUCCAUAGAAUUGAGCUAAUGAAGUUUGAUUCCUUGUAAGCAACCCAGAUCUGAUGUGACAGACGAUGCAUGUCAGAGCUUAUGAAUCUUCGCUCGAGAAGUGAUUUUAACAUAAUAUCAAUUAGGCUAAGUUCUUUUAAGCAUUACGCAUGUAUUAGAGUGAUUUUAAGUCCAUAUUUAGUCAGCUUAUUUUGGAGAAACAAUCAAACUUUUGUUAGCUUCAUGAGACAUUCUGAGAAAUAAGUGGUCAUUUCUCCAAAAACAACCCAACAAAUGCACAUAAUUAGAAAAUUGCUAGUCAUUUGUUUUAAAGAUAAGUGACAUAAUAUACAAAAAAAAAAAAAGAGUAGGAAAUACAUUAUAAAGGUCUCCCCAACUUGACUUGAAUUCCUACGAAAAAUUAUAAGAGUGCAUAGCACAAGUGAUGAGUUUCCAGGAGAAACUGCACUGAACUUUUCAGAGGAAGUUGUACAAUUGAAAUUUCGCAUUAGCACAAUUAAAACCAGACAUGAAGUGUCAACUUUAUUUCUCACUCAACACAAGAUCAGUCCACUGACAAAUCCAGUGCAGCACAUAUUUUAAAUUAGAAUUUAAUAACUUCUCUUCGCAAAAGUUUAUCAUUAGUCAUGUCCCUUUCUCUAUCUAAAACUGCUGUUGGUAUCUUAGCAUCACUAAAUAUCUUAGUUUAUUCUGUCAUUGCAGUAAUCACUUUAAAUAAUGUAUAGAUUCCUCAUGGAGUAAAAUAUCGCAGUUUCAAUUAAAAUCAUAAACGUAAUACGUGUUGUCACUCGCAGUCUAAAUAAAAUACUGAAGCAAUUAACGAAGUCAAGUAGUUCGUUGACUUACACCCAAAGCUACAACGUUGAUGUAGAAAUCAAUCAAAGUUGCUCCCAUCCACCUGAACCAAAACUUUGUUCAUUCCGAGAGAAAACAGUGAACUAAAAUACAGAAAAUAAGUACCGAUUGGAUGAACUUUCCCAAUGGCAAUCACAAGAAAAACCAAAAUUAAACAAACUUCGUCUAACUUCAAAAAAUUAAGAUACAUAAAUUGAUUUAAUAUUUAAAAAAUAAUUUAUGUUUUCGUGUUUAUGAUAUGAAAACAUAAUUCUAUGAUCGUUGUAUUCCGGUACUAAAGAAAUAUAGAGAGAGGUUACGGUUUGAGGAGUUCUUUAUGAAACGGAAGACCAUCGGUGAAGAGAGUGUAAAGAAGGGUAGCAAGCAUGAGAAGUCCCACAACAGUGAAGAGAGUUCUCAAACCGGUUGCCACUGAAAUUUUCGCCAUUGAGAUUCACAGAGAGAAGCAAUUGCAAAUAACAGCGAAGAAAAUUAAGAACAAAGAUGCAAUUUGUGGUUUAAAUGUGACCACACAAGACUGAAUAAACCAUAAAGUAAACUACAUCAUUUGAAUUUGACUCAUCGAAUUAAUAAAGUAAAUACAUCAUUUGAAUUUGACUCAUCGAAUUAAUAAAGUAAAUACAUCAUUUGAAUUUGACUCAUCGAAUUAAGGUAGAUAAGGUAACUAUUGUAAAUUUAUGAAUAUUUUAAAUUCUCAAAAUUAAUAUAAUGAAUAGAAAAGUAUAUAAAACUUUCUUUGUUAUUAAUAUUAAAAUAAAUCUGAAAAAUUGAAGAAAAGGAUAUAAAAAGAUGUGAUACUAUUUAUGUAAAAAAAUUCAGGCGAUUUAGUUAUUUGAAAAAAAAAAGAAUAUAAAAUAAAUAAAUAUUUAAACGAUUUAGGUUAAAGUUGAAAUUAGGAUGUUCCAUCCUUAAAUUCAACUGACUGAAUUAGGUUUUAUCUUAAUAAGUUUUCUUUUAGCACAUCUACAACGAUUUUAUGAGUCAUCAAAUCUAAUCAAUUAAAUAAUAUAUGUAUGAUAAAAAUAAUACUUAUUAUGAUGAAUAAUUAUUAAAAUUAGUAUGCAUAUUAGUACACAAAAUAAUAAAAAUGAUAUAUUAUAUUAUUAGCAUUAGCUGUUGCUAUUGGCGUGAUUCGAAUAUUGGAUUAUACUGUUACUAAAACCUAAAAUCCACCACUUAUGAUAAUAUAACUAAUUAAAAUAGGAUAUACGUAAGAUCAUUAUUCAGAACUCAUAUUCAAAAUAUGCAUCUUGAAUAUGAUAUCUUAAAUCUAAUAUUAAUAUUUUAAAUAUAUUUGGAAUCAUUGAAAAUAGAAUUAAACUAAUUUGAUUAUAUUUGUUUUUCAAAAUUAAAUAAAUUUAUAAUUUUUAAUCAAAUAUGUUAUCUACAUAUUAAACUUGAAAAAUAUAAAAUCAGAUCAAAACACAUUUUUUUAUUACAAACAACUUACAUGUCAUGUCUGCAAGCUUGUUAUUAUUUUGUAUGAGAAAAGCUUGUUAUUAUUUUGUAUGAGAGUUUCUCAUGACAACUUUAUCAAACUUCAACUCUAAGUUAAUUAUUUUUAUAGUCUUGAACUUCGUUUAAUAUAAUAUAAAAAAAACUUUUUUUAUGCAGCAUAAAAUUAAUAUUACGAAAUAUAUUCAAUAUGAGAGUAUAAUUUUAACAUUUUUAUGAUAUAAUUAUUAUUUAUGUCUUAAAAAUAGUGUUGGAAUAUUUUUUUCUGUAAUUUUUCAUUUUUUAAAGGCUUAUGAACAUACGUUUAUAUUAUUACGAAUUUGAUUGUUUAAACAUUUUACUAUAUUUUUAACUUAAUCUUUUGCGCUCAUUAUAUUUUAGAUUUAUAAAUGUUCAAAAAUAAUAUAUUUAAUAAAUUAAAGGAAUGAACUCUUAACAAUAAGUUGAAGUUCUUUUCGUGAUUAAUAUAAAUUAACUCUUAUAAAAUAGUUAAAAAAAAAUAACCAUUCCAUGCUACAUAACUAAUUAUUUUUUAAAAAGUGAUUGUCAAGUUUAUUUUUUAUUGUUUUUCUUUUAUCAAUGUUUAUCAAGGGUGCUGCUAAUGUGAAUCAUACUUAAAAGGUUAGUUUGUCACUAAUUUUACAGAAUAGGUUAACACAUUUUGUCCAUCAGUUCAGUUCAAGUUUCUAAGGCAAAAUCUGUUGAUCCAUUUUUUAAUUAAAAAUAAAACAAUAAUUUAUUUUUUUCUAUUAUAUAAUUAAAUAUAUAUAUAUAUAUAUAUAUAUUAAAAUAUAUGACGGAAUUGGCCUCCCAAGAUAGUUCUCCUCGUGGAAGGAUAAAAGAUUUAAACUCCAUUGACGAGAGUAGACGUAGUAAGUAAUACUCCGCAAAGUAUGCUUCAACAAUAUGAGGAGUGAAUGUCGAGAACAAUGACUAAUUUUGAAGUGUUAUUUAAAGAAUGUUAAAAGAAAUGGAAGAACAGUUCUGAACCAGUAAGAUUGGCUGAAUCAACAAUAUCUGUUCUAAGAAGUCUCGAGUCUUUGAAAGAGAUGCGACUACGACUUAUUUAUCAAUAUUCUUUAGUCGAAUAUAAUUCUUGCAUGGGUAGAGGCGUUCCAAAAAAAUACAACAUCAAGAAUCCAAUUUCCUAUUUUUAAUGGUGAUAAUUUAAAUCAUUGGUUAUAUAAAUAUGAUAAUCUCUUUCUCAUCCAUAAUGAUGACAUUAAGGUUCACCUAUUAUCCUUCAUGUUGAAAGACCCGUCCUUGAAUGACAUAUUGCUUUGUCAAAAUAUAGAGAUUUGUUAUUCCUUAUCCUGAAGAGAUUAUGGUGAUUUAGACAAAGAAAGAUUCGGGGAUAAUUGGAUUGAUACUUGUGUAAAUUUCUACUUAUACCAUUAUACCAUUUUUCUUGCAAAAAUUAGUAAAUUCACCAUUUCUAUAAGUACUUAUACAUUAUGAAUGUACCUGUUUCUUUCUCUACACAGCUUUUGAAAGUAUAAAAAACAUCUAAUUUUUCUGCUAAGAAAUAUAUCCAAGUUUUACGACUAUAAUUAUCAAUGAAAGUAGUUAGCUACCUUUUUGGAAAUGGGUGUAAUAGGGUUGCAUAUGCCAGCAUGUACCAAAGGUUUUGAGAAGCUCUCCAUGUGCUCUCUUUUGGAAAUNNNNNNNNNNNNNNNNNNNNNNNNNNNNNNNNNNNNNNNNNNNNNNNNNNNNNNNNNNNNNNNNNNNNNNNNNNNNNNNNNNNNNNNNNNNNNNNNNNNNGUAGCUCUCUCUUCUCCUUCCUUCCUUCUCUUUCAAUUGUUCAUGUUGUCUUGUGUUCUUGAGUUGUUUGGUUCGGCUUUUCUAUUUUUUCCAGCACCUAUGUUCUGUUCUUGCCUUUUAAUUACACUUUUGUUCGGUUCAAAUGUUUGCUUAUUCAAUUCUGUUCGGUUCCUUUAAUUGUACCUCUCUUUGUUGAUUCAAUUUGACAAUAUGUGGAGCAUCCAAAUGAGUUUGGGAUUUGGUACUAGUUUUUGGUGAGUUCUUGUCUUAGAACAAUGAUCCAACUCUAAGAAAAGUGCUUCUAUAAUGUCCAGCUCAAGGUGAUUCCUAAGAAUGUCAAGAAUCAUUCUCUAUAUGGCUAGUGGAAUCACAUCAUGAGUGGUGGCAUGUCAUUCACCAUUUUUUGUUGCUCAAGAGUCUUCAGGUCUUUAAAGCCCAAAUGUUCAUAUUUACAGUGUCAUAACUGAGUUGAAUCUUCUGUAAUUGUAUUAAAACAAGCUAUCGCAUUUGAUUGAGGCUUAACAGAUAAAAUGAACAUUCUAUUUGAGUACAUUCUUACUUCCAUGAUUAAGCCUUUCUCUUAGUGAUAGACCUUACAUCUUCCAUGUUGGAAGAGGAUUGUGAAUCCCUUCUUUUGCAAAUGUCCAAUACUCAAUAAGUUGAUUUUUAGCUUAGGUACAUAGAAUACUUCAAUGAUAUGGGAGAUUCUAUUUAACUAUCUUUGUUUGUUAAUUUGUUUCUCUCUUUAAUUUUUGUUUGUUAUUUAACUAUCUUUAAUUCUAUGCAACAGUCUCUCUGUUGUGUGGUUUGCAUGGGAGAAGCGUGAUUAGGUAUGAAAUGCAGGGUGUAGAAAUAAACAGAAAAAAAAAAUUGAAACACAAACAGCUGGAUUUAUAUAGAAUGUGGUGAGGGCCCAUUGAUGAGGUGAAGUCACUGAAAUAGUGAGGGGUAAUGUGGGAAAUAAGGAUAAGACAAAUUGAGACAUGUUUUAAGAAAGUAAUCCUCCUUAACUAAAAUUACUUUUAAAAUGAUUUCAUUUAUAUUUAAUGAUAUAAUUAAAAAAAAUAAACAUAUAAUUUAUUUUAUUUUUGCAUAAAAUAUUUUAAAAUUGUUUUAACUUAAAAUUAAUUUUUAAAUUCAGAAUAAUUUUGCAUAUAUUAAUUUACAUUCAUGUUGGAAUUAUAUUUUUUAUUUCAUUUUAAACUUUAAAUAUUUAUACCUAUAUAUAUAAAUAGUUUUUUUUGCAUAUCCUCUGUAUCAAAAACUUCUCACUAUUCUCAUUCUAAUUUUUUUCAUCUUUUUUACCUGCAUUGCGUUUUUGUAUAUAAGAUUUUGUAUUGGUUUACAUAUGUCAUCAUCAAGCGCAUUAAGUUUGGUCUGUUAAUUGAAUUAAGAGAAAAGAUUACUGGAAUAUGAUUACUAAAGUUAUUAAAAAAAAAAUUAUUUGUAUAUUUAAUUAAAGAUUUAGUUUUAAUAAAUCUUAUUAAAUAUAUAAUAGAUAUAUAUAAUCUCUUUUAUUUAAUUUUUAAUAUUAAACAUUAUUAUAUAUAAAUAAUAAAAGAAAAGAUACAGAAGCGCAACACCUACGAUAAAAUAAAAGAUACAGAAGCGCAGCACCUACGUUCCGCUACUAGAUAUAAAUUAGGAAAAUUAUACCGUUCUUAUAUUACAAUAUCAAGAAUUUUUUAAUUUUACAAUUUGUUUUGGUAAAAAAUAUAAUAACAUAAUGAAAAGACACCACGACAGAAACUAACAUUUUUCAAAAGCUUGAUGAUGGGGAAAAGACAGCACGACAGGAGAUAACUCGCUGAAGAAUAAUUUUGCGAAAAAUGAGUAUGAAGACAAUAAACAUCUGAAACACGUGGCUGACAUAGCGGAUUCAGUGUUUGAUGGAUUGUGUAAAAAUUCUUGGCAAGAAUCUUGGGUUUUACAUAAUGAAGAAACGUUAACCUUAACCACCACUAUUUCAAUUUUACACAUUAUUGUUCUAGCUCAUUCUGAUAAACUUUAUAAUAGUGAGGUAACCAGUGAUAACAGUAUCAGUGAGACAGAACACUAACUUCUUAACAGUUAAAGGAUUUUGCCACCCCAAAAAUAUUACUUCAUGCCUACUCCAGUCCCAAUACAAAAUGUUCAAAAAUAAAAAGAACAGAGUGCCAUGUGCUU